AGGAAUCAAAAUGAAGUUCGCGGUGACUCUUGCCAUCUGUUUUAUUAUAAAAGUUGCCAAUGGCAACACCGUUCUUCAAAGUACCUGCCAACUGGACCUCGAAACAACUGUGUCAAAGAGUUUGGAACUAUUGAAAAACGCCCUGGGGAGAGGAGAAUGUGAACCAACGUGUCCAGAUGGGUGGUUAUAUAACCAAGGCUCUUGUUAUCUGUUUGGAAAUACUUCGUUAACUUUUGAAGAGGCCAAAAGCUUUUGUGGACAGUACGGCAGUCAUCUUGUGCAUAUCAACAACUCUUCAGAAAAUGCAUUCCUUUAAAGCUUUGCAGGUCAAAUGACCCCUCACAACUGGUGGAUGAGUCUGGUUUAUUCCGGUGGGUGGAAAUGGUUCGAUGAUGGUUCCAACCUUACUUUCACUGACUGGGGCACAUUUCAGCCUGGUGAUGGACAAGAGGUGUGUUCUUUUUUGUUCAAAUCGGACAGCUUCUCUUGGCACGACGCUUCCUGUGUGCACCCCGAUACCUAUCCACUUUGUGAAAAAGAAAACAAUUAGAUCGCAAAGACGUUACAAAGGUGUCGCAGUUCUUCUCCAUUAACAUCAAAUAUAAG